UACGUAGGGUGCGAGCGUUAAUCGGAAUUACUGGGCGUAAAGCGUGCGCAGGCGGUUCGUCGUGUCCGAUGUUAAAGCCCCGGGCUCAACCUGGGAAUGGCAUUGGAAACUGGCGGGCUUGAGCGUGGCAGAGGGGGGUGGAAUUCCGCGUGUAGCAGUGAAAUGCGUAGAGAUGUGGAGGAACACCGAUGGCGAAGGCAGCCUUCUGGGCCAACACUGACGCUCAUGCACGAAAGCGUGGGGAGCAAACAGG
rnacentral:rRNA from 1 species